GUCAUGUUCCUGGGCAGAGGUGAGUCACACCUUCUCCUCUCACCAGACUCUGAGCUAAUUCUCCACAGGUGAGGAGCAGAGGGAGCAGCAGCUGCAGGAGAUUUCCCAAUCAGGGACGCGGGUUCAAAAGGAGGAUGGAGACACAUCACUUUGCCGGAUGAUUGCACCAGUUUAGGAUCAUCUCAUCAUCUACUCACCCUCGCUGUCUUCGUUUUCUGGAACAUACUCAUCACGUCCCAUCCUCCUCCGCCGUUCCUGUUUGGCUUUCCCUCUGCUACCUCACCCCUCCUGGAUCUCUCAUCCUCUGACCAGCGUCCUCCCCGGCUUCCCCUCCUCUACUGAUUAACCUGAGCACCUCAGAGACUCGAGCCGUAUUGCUCAUCCCACAGGACUUCCCUGUGCGGUUUCAGUUCCCGUUUUUAUAAUAAAGACAUUUUACUUUACUGCUUUGGACUACGUGUGCUGAUUCUGCAUGUCUUGGGUUAGACACUUACCUCGAGCCAUGACA